rnacentral:lncRNA from 1 species
AGACGGCGGCCCGCUCCGCGCUGCACAAUGGAGCUCGCGCUCUGCCCGCCGCCGCCGGCAUCACGGCCCCGGCGCGCGGGAAGCCGCUUUCAUGUGACUUGCACAAAAAAACGAAAUGGCUUCUGGGGCCGGCUGCGAACCCCCCUCUCCCGAGAGCCGAGCUCCGAGCUCCGGGCUCCUGCCGCCGCCGCCGCCGCUCUCGCCGCCGCCGCGCCAGAUCCCCAGAGUAACAGCUUGUCCUUCCUCAAGGCUCUUUGCUUAGGAAGAAAGCAAAGAAUAGAACCUGCAAGAUGGCGUAUUCCCUUCCAAUCCUGGCGGCCUGAGUUUGAUCCCAAGAUCCACACGGUAGAGGGAUAGAACUGACUCCUGCAUGUUGGCCUCUGACGUCCAUACAUAUUCCUUAGCAUGUGUGUAUCUCUCCUCUCUCGAAAAAUAAUAAGAAAAUGCAAUAAAAUAGAGAAAGAGAGAGAGAGAGAGAUCUUCUACUUAUGAAUUUGGUAGACUCUGUUCUUCCUGCCCCUUCCAUGUAUGACAACAUUGUUGUUCAGACACAGGAGGAAGAACCAUCACCCAGAGGACAAAGCACCGGGGAAGGAACUCAGAGAGCACCAUGCUCACAAUAGCCCAGAGGGUGCGCAUGCGCACACACAUACACAUGGCCACACGCUGAUCCAUGUUUAUAGCUUCUCUCUCUUUGUCUCUCUCUCUCUCUCUCUCUCUCUCUCUCUCUCUCUCUGUCUCUCACACACACAUGCACGCACGCCCGCGCGCGCACGCGCACACACACACACAUACACACACACACACACACACACACACACACACACGACCCUCUCAAGCCCCUGGGCCUUUGGGACACACAGUUCCUUUGACUGACUGUACUAUUUCUGCGUGGCUCACCCUGAUCAGUUUCUCCAAAAUAUAAUCCUCUCUGAUGUCUGUCUCCUGGGACCCAGACCUACCCUCUAGUCUCCCAGCGCGAGUGGGACUGUAUGUUUAGCACUUGCUCCUAGGAGACCAGAGCCACACCUGCUUUAUUCAUAGAGGACAGGCACCAGCACUCCCCAGGGGACAGCUACCUCUGGCAUAGUCUCUUGUGUGUGUGUGUGUGUAGUAAACGUGGAACUCAGGAUUGGAUAAACAGGUGAAGUUCUUUGUUCUUGGCUUAUGAAGACAUGAGAGGAGGUCGGGUGCGGUUCUGUUGUAAAGAGUCUGUCUAGAAUAUGUAAGGCCCUAUGUCUAGGCUGGAGAGAUGGCUCAGUGGUUAAUUAUAACUUUAAUUUUUUUCAGACCUUAUUUUAAAUGAUGUUUUUUAAAAAAAAUUUUAAAGACUUAUUUAUUGUUAUAUGUAGAUACACUGUAGCUGUUGUCAGCCACCAUGUGGUUGCUGGGAUUCGAACUCAGGACCUUCAGGAAGAGCAGCCAGUGCUCUUAACCGCCGAGCAGUCUCUCCAGCCCCUAAAUGAUGGUUCUUAAAAACGUUUUAACCUCCCUUGUAGCCCACCACCCACCAGAGGUAGUAGAAAAGAAAGGAUACAGGGGAAGUGAACCUGUUUAGAAAAGUUCUUAGGAGCAAUUCCCGUCUGGAAAUCAGCAGUUCAGUUCACAGGUUAGCAGGCAGCAGCAGCUCCAUCCACUCUCACAGAUACACCAGCAGCCCAGCUGGGGAGCAACCGUGGUGACAUGACCUAGCAGAAACAGUCAGGCCUCAGUCUUGGCUGGAGUCAGCAGGAGGGACCAACAGGAACACCAAGAGAAGUUCUCCGCUGUACCUCUCUCAGGAAAGCAAAGAUCAGUGAAGACUUGAGACCCACAAGCCUUGCACAGCUAGCUCUACAAGCAAGCCCAGCUCUGUCUCUGUCAUUCCAUGGAGUCCUAGUUAUGCCUCCAAACAUCACAUGUCCUCCACAGGUCUUGCCUCAGCAUGUGCACCCAGUCACCCAGAGUCCUCAGAAGCAGCAAGAAACUGUGCCACCAGAGGUCUUUUGGUGCGUUUCUCUCUCUGGAGUCCUGACAAAUGCAGCUCAACUACGCAAUGUAAGGCAGACCAAUACAUGCGUGUUGUUAGCAAAGAA